rnacentral:lncRNA from 1 species
UUGCCGCCGCCCGCCUUCUUCCUAAAGUUCUAGCCUAGAGUAGAGAUUUUACAAGAAAAUCAAAGCACAUCCUAAAGUUCUCUUACAUUUUCUGUCUCCACCCGCCCCUUCUCCUCUCCCAAAUAAAUUUCAAAACUUCUUUCCGGUUAGAGCAAGAAAGAGGAAAGCUUAGUGAUUUGUGUGGUGUGGCUGGAACUGGCAUUUAAGGGAUAACAAGAGCUUAUAAACAAGCAGGCAUAAGGUAUUUUAACUUGCCUUGAUUAUAUUUUAUCAUAGAAUGUGAGUAUUUGAUCAAGGUUAGUUUACUUAUGCAUGGUGGCAAUUUAUUAGUUUAAGAGAAUUUGGUAAUAUAAAAUAGUGUUAGCAGUGGAUGAGAAUUAAGCAUAACAACAGAAAAUUUAUAUGUUAUGUAGGUAUGUAAAUAGAGAUUCUUAAGGUUAACUGCUAUGAAUGAUUAUUGAUAUGCUAUUUGACUGCUAUGGACUGAGAUUAAGCACAAGGAGAUAGGUUGGGCUGUGGAGUAAUAAGGAUGUUAUUAUGGGUUUAUGAUGUAAAUGAAUGGCUGUGAGAUUGGUAACACAAAACUAUGCACACUACAUGUUUGUUAAAAGUCCCAAGUGGACUGUUUUGGCUAAAACUUGAUAAAUAGAUGGGAUCAAGGCUUGGGAUAAAUAAGUACACUAUAUAUAAGGUUAGGAGAGGUGUUUUGACAUGCUAAAUGGAAGUGAAGAGCAAAUUUUAGCGAAAACCAAUUGUUAAAAAAAAAAUUAACAUGUCAAGCACUGUUUUGGGGCAGUCUAUUAAGACAACCAUGAUUAUGUUAUAAGUUCUAAAAGUACUUUUAUGUGUUAAGUGUAAUAUAUCUAAAUUUGUGUACAACCAAGCUUUUGUUUUAAAGGUUUUAUAAUUUCUAGAACUACUCCCUUGUGUUAUAUUCUAUGUACUUAAACAGGGAGAUAAACCAUCAUGUGGUUAGAAAAAUGAGAUAGGAAAUAAUAGUCAUGUUAGGCUAAAGGUUGCUGUCUAUAGCAGUAGCAAUUGUAGUGGAUAAGGCUGGGACUCUCUUUUGAGUUCCCAGUCAACUUGAUUAAGACAUUUGUACAACUUGAUUUGUACUUUGUUAAAUUUAGAGGUGUGCAAAUUGCCUUGUCUCCAAAAAUUGUAGUAUAUUAAGAGUAAAUCAGUUAUAACUUGGAAAUAGGAUGGGGGGGCAGGGCUGCUGCCUAAUGGCAGCAGCAGGAACCAUCUUGGGAGCAAGAUCUAGGGAUUUCCUUGGCUUAAUGAUCAACCUACUUAUGUUUAUUAGAUUAUUUUAUUAAUGUGUCUGAAUGCUAUAUAAACAAAUUAAUGGUAUAUGCAUGAAUGGUUGGUCAAAGCAUAGGAUAAGCAAUAGGGGCUGCUGCAGUGGACAAUAGCAAACAGCAACUGCUGCCUUUCGACACUAAUAAGUUGCAGCAUUAUAAUUUGAUUGAUAGAUUGAUUCGUCUUGUUUUGACUCUAGCUGUUUCCACUGCCACGACAGAACGAGCAUUUUCAGCUAUGAAACAUGUUAAAACUGCUCUUCGCAAUAAAAUGGGAGAAGAGUUUUUAGCAGAUGCUAUGAUGAUUUAUAUUGAACGAGAGCUUGUUGAAAAUAUCGAUUCAUAUUCCAUAAUGGACGAAUUUUAUUCUACAAAGCAUAGAAGAAUGCAGCUUAAAUAGUGUGUUUUGUUUCCCUUUUUUCUUACAUUUUAUGUACCUUUGAACUUUACUACUAUGUAUGAUUUUGAAUUUAUGAUUGAUUUUGGUGGGACAAUUUCUGAUGUAUAUGGUUGGUACUUAGUAGCCCAGGAGGAAAAAAAAUCCUAGCUCUGCCCUUGUGUUCAGGUUGAUUACCAAAUUGCGAAAUUAAAUAUUAAUUCUAUCUUGAGUUUGUAACAGAAAUGGUCCAUCUGCAGAUAGCUGACUUUCAGUUAAUUUGUUUCCCAUACUUGUGUUUUCUAAGACUUGAGUGCAAUUAGUAAUUUUCUUUUGGAAGGGCAGUGGUCUUGACUACCAAGGCUCGAGGGGUUUCUUACCGACUGACAUGUCUUGACUGUGUCAUCCUCAUCUCCAAAGCAUGUUAUUUCUUCACUUUAUUUGGGGAUUGUAUUGCAGUUGUAGCUUCUUUUUCUGAAAAGGAUUCUGCUACAUUUUCAAUAGCAUUUUCCUUCGUACCCAAAUUUGGUCAUAACGGCGGAAUGUCUCCACUCCACAAUGCUAUAUAUCUGAAUCUUGAUGAAAUAAUUACAGUUGCUAUAUUACAUUUCUGAAAAUUGAAUAACUACAUAUGCUAUUGACCCAAGCAUCUGAUAAAUAUCAUUUUUUUUCUUCUGUAUGUUUAAUUUUUUAUGUAUUUGCAGAAACUUGAGUGGAAACAAUAUCCAUGGAACCAUUCUUUCUUCAGUUGGAACAGUUACCAGCCUAUAAAUACUGUGAGUAAAAUAUUACAUUGAUUUAUAAUGUAAUUGUUUUAAAUUUUCCUUUUUCCAAUUGUGAACAGUAUACUCAUUAGUUCUGUCAUUUUACAUCUAGCUGGGAUAAUAUAUAUUUCAAGUUAAAUAGGGAUUUCACUGGAAUAAAGAGAAAUUUAUGCAAAAAAAUUAGAAUAAACACAUAAACUAAUGUACAAUUGUUGAUUAUUGGCUCAAGUUACGGUGCUGCAUGUUUUCAUUGGUUCAACUGUGUUAAAUAUUGAUAUUUUGUAGAAUAUGAAUGCUUGAUAGUCGGAGGGAGUGAAGUUCCGUACCACCUGCAAUAAUAUGUUAAAGAAAUAUAAGAAUCUUAAUUGGAUUAGUAAAACCUCUAAACUCCUAUGCUUGAUUUUUGUGCCCUUCUUUUUUUAUUUCCAAUAGUCACACUUGAUAUAUAUAUAUACAUACAACUUUUUGGCUAAAUGUAAUGUCUGAAGCUGUAAUUGUACUGCAGAGACCUACCAUAUAAUUUUCAGGAUCCGGUUAACAUGAAAUUUAUUUUUUAGUAAGUUGGUCAAUUGACCAAUAGAAUGCACACACAUAGAACCUCGCCUGCGUGUCAGCACUCUAUUGGCCAAUUGACCAACUUACCCAAAAAUAAACUUCAUGCUAAUCACUUCCCAAUUUUCAACGGAUCAAUUCCUGAAAGCCUUGGACAGCUGUCAUCAAUACAAAGAUUGUAAGAUCUGUCAAGCAUCUUAUUAGCAUAAAAAAUGUGAAUAUUGCAACAUGGAACACUAAUUUAUGUUAUUGUGGUUCAGGAAUCUCAAUAGCAACUCCCUCUUGGAAGAGUCCCAGCUGCACCAGGAGGAAGGCUUUUGCACAGAGGAAGCUUGAAGU